AGCGAACGCUGGCGGCGUGGAUAAGGCAUGCAAGUCGAGCGAUCUCCGCAAGGAGAUAGCGGCAAACGGGUGCGUAACGCGUAGGGAACCUGCCCUGAAGUGGAGGACAACCUGGCGAAAGCCAGGCUAAUACUCCAUGUGUCCUGGACCUCGCAUGAGGACCAGGGGAAAAGUGGCCUCGACCGCAAGGUUGCUACUGCUUCAGGAGGGUCCUGCGUCCCAUCAGCUAGUUGGUAGGGUAACGGCCUACCAAGGCAUUUGACGGGUAGCUAACUUCAGAGAGUGGUUAGCCACACUGGGACUGAGACACUGCCCAGACUCCUACGGGAGGCUGCAGUCGAGAAUCUUUGGCAAUGGGCGAAAGCCUGACCAUGCGACGCCGCGUGCGGGAUGAAGGCCCUCGGGUCGUAAACCGCCGUUACGGGGGACGAAGUGCUUUUGAACUAAUAGGGCGAAAGCAUUGACGGUACCCCGAGAGAAAGCCACGGCUAACUCCGUGCC
rnacentral:rRNA from 1 species